UACAGAGGUCUCGAGCGUUGUUCGGAUUCAUUGGGCGUAAAGGGUGCGUAGGUGGCGCUGUAAGUCGGGUGUGAAAUCCUGAGGCUUAACCUCGGAACUGCAUUCGAUACUGCGGCGCUUGAGGACUGGAGAGGAGACUGGAAUUCAUGGUGUAGCAGUGAAAUGCGCAGAUAUCAGGAGGAACACCGGUGGCGAAGGCGGGUCUCUGGGCAACAACUGACGCUGAGGAGCGAAAGCGUGGGGAGCGAACAGG
rnacentral:rRNA from 1 species